GUCAUUUUGAUCUUCACCCUGGAGGUUUCAACAGACAGUGUUGAUUUAACAAUAUCCCACGCGCCCAGAGCCACUGCAUUUAAUCGAGAGCUACUCACAUUGUUUGAACAAUGCAACCACGCACACUGCAUCGGCCGGCCUCUACCCCACCUGAGGACCCAGCAGUACAGACAACUCCUUUGAACAUCGUACUCCACUCCAGCAGUCACAAUACUACUACUGUAGGCUUUCACAACUAACACGUCGUCAGGGCUUUCAAGUUUAAGAAAACUGUAACAUUUAUUGAACUCCAAGACCUGAAGACAAAGCACACUAAAAUCCUCUACUUAAUUACCUUAUCACGUCAGACCAGACGCUAAAGUGAACCCAGCUCGAUGUUGGUGGCUGGUCUGACGUGAUAAGGUAAAUCAAAUCAGUGAGGUCUGUGCUGGGCAGUGCCCUGGCACCAACAAGCAAGCCCACAACUCACUAACCCUGACUACCAUAUUCGUCAGAGCUCCGGAGGAAGCCACGGGCUCAGGGGGAGAGAAAGCAGAAACUCCUCACAGACAGCAGCGGAAAUUGACGGUGCCUAUCCAUGAGCUUUCAAGGAGCUGGUGGUGGACCUGAGGAGGGCUAAGGCACCGGUGACCCCUGUUUUCAUCCAAGGGGUCAGUGUAGACAUGGUGGAGGAUUACAAAUACCUGGGGAUACGAAUGGACAAUAAACUGGACUGGUCAAAGAACACUGAGGUUGUCUACAAGAAGGGUCAGAGCCGUCUCUACUUCCUGAGGAGACUGAGGUCUUUUAACCUGCUGGAGGAUGCUGAGGAUGUUCUACGAGUCUGUGGUGGCCAGUGCUAUCAUGUUUGCUGUUGUGUGCUGGGGCAGCAGGCUGAGGGUAGCAGACACCAACAGAAUCAACAAACUCAUUCGUAAGGUCAAUGAUGUUGUGGGGGUGGAACUGGACUCUCUGACGGUGGUGUCUGAAAAGAGGAUGCUGUCCAAGUUGCAUGCCAUCUUGGACAAUGUCUCCCAUCCACUCCAUAAUGUACUGGUUAGGCAGAGGAGUACAUUCAGCCACUCAUUUCACCGAGAUGUAACACUGAGAGUCAUAGGAAGUCAUUCCUGCCUGUGGCCAUCGAACUUUACAACUCCUCCCUUAGUGUGUCAGACACCCUGAGCCAAUAGGCUGGUCCUGGACUUAUUUCCACCUGGCAUAAUUUACCUAUUAUUAUUUAAUUAUUUAUGGUUUUAUAUUGCUAUAUUUCUACCCUAUUCUUGGUUGGUGCGACUGUAACGAAACCCAAUUUUCCUCAGGAUCAAUAAAGUCUGUCUGUCUUCCUCUUUUGAGACAAGCUGUCAACCAAUAUCUUCUGUAAACCUAACACUUCCCAUGAUAAUAUUGACUAUGCCUCUUCCCUCUGUGAACAUGCUAUUCCCUUUUCUCAGUUCCUUUGCCUGUUCUCAGGAUAAGGCUUUCUUUACCACGACAUCAGAGAGGACAAAGGACAGGGUCUCCUUUCCUCCAUUAUUGAUGCUACACUCACUCACAUUCACGAACAUCCACACUCACCCCAUCUUCCCAUUGCCUUAACAGGGAUAGAGUUCCGCUUGUCCUCACCUACCACCCCUGAACCUCCACUUCCAACUCAUCAUCCUCCUCAACGUCUGCCAUCUCCAAAGGCACCCUACCACCAAACUCCCUCCACUUUUUGCAGAGAUCACUCGUCCCUCCCCAGCCCCAGCACGAUUCCCUUCAGCCUGCGUGCUGCACCUACCCAUUCACCUUCUCCCUCACCUCCAUUCAGGGCCCCAAACAAUCCUUCCAGGCAAGGCACCAGUGCACCUAUAGAUCUGCUGGGUCAUCUGUUGCGUCUGGAGCUCCUGAUAAUGACUCCUCUAUAUCAGCGUGCCCUGUCGUAAAUUGGGGGGCGGUUCGUAAGUACCUCCUUUUCAUCCAACAAAAGCGGAACCUCCCGGAGGCCAAGCAUUUUAAUUCCCAUUCCCAUUCUGACAUAUCAGUCCAUGAGCUCCUCUUGAAGUUCAUCUCGCCAAGAUGAAGUCUUGAGGUCGAGGAGCAACACCUUAUAUUCCAUCUCGGCAGCCUCCAACCUGAUGGAAUGAAUAUCGAUUUCCCCUUCCGAUAAAACAAUUGCUGCCCAACUUCCCCUCUUCUUCUAUUCCCCACUCUGUUCUUUUACCUUGUCUUACCUAUCACUUCCCCCUGGGUCCCCUCCUCCUUCCCUUUCUCCCAUGGUCCACUCUCCUCUCCAGCCCCUGACCUUUCACACACACCUGGUUUUACCUAUCACUUCCCCCUGGGUCCCCUCCUCCUUCCCUUUCUCCCAUGGUCCACUCUCCUCUCCAGCCCCUGACCUUUCACACACACCUGGUUUUACCUAUCACUUCCCCCUGGGUCCCCUCCUCCUUCCCUUUCUCCCAUGGUCCACUCUCCUCUCCAGCCCCUGACCUUUCACACACACCUGGUUUUACCUAUCACUUCCCCCUGGG